UAUGUGUUUGUGAGUGUGUACA
rnacentral:piRNA from 1 species